rnacentral:rRNA from 1 species
CACGUAGGCGGAUUUGUUAGUCAGGGGUGAAAUCCCGGGGCUCAACCUCGGAACUGCCUUUGAUACUGCAAGUCUAGAGUCCGGAAGAGGUGAGUGGAAUUCCUAGUGUAGAGGUGAAAUUCGUAGAUAUUAGGAAGAACACCAGUGGCGAAGGCGGCUCACUGGUCCGGUACUAACGCUGAGGUGCGAAAGCGUGGGGAGCAAACA